rnacentral:rRNA from 1 species
UUGUCUUUUGUGAUACGCUUUCAAAGAGUCAGGUUGUUUGGGAAUGCAGCCUAAAUUGGGUGGAAAUCUCACCUAAACUAAAUAUUGGCGAGAGACCGAUAGCGAACAAGUACCGUGAGGGAAAGAUGAAAAGAACUUUGAAAAGAGAGUUAAACAGUAUGUGAAAUUGUUGAAAGGGACGUUUGGAGCCAGACUGGCUGCUCUAUAAUCAAUCUCUGCUUCGGUAGGGAUGCACUUGUAGGGCUUUGGCCUGCCAACAGCAAUUUUUUCUGAAGGAAAAAACUAGAAGGAAUGUGGCCCCUCGGGGUGUUAUAGCCUUUUAGAAAAUACUUUGGAAGGGAUUGAGGACUGCAGCAGAUGCUUUUGGCGAAAUAUAUAGGUGCUUGUAUUGAGGAAGUGUAGAAUUUCUGCUCGGGUGGUGCUACGCUCUAAUGUGCAACUCGCUUAGACUAUUUUCUAUCUGCUUAGGUUGUUGGCUUAAUGACUCUAAAUGACCCGUCUUGAAACACGGACCAAGGAGUCCAUCAUAGGUGCAAGUCUUUGGGUAAAACUCAUAGGCGUAAGGAAACUGAUGAUACGAAGGCUCACGCUGGCAGUAUCGCCCGCAACGACGUUUUAACAGACUUGACCGAGAUAAAGCACUUAUGCUGGGACCCGAAAGAUGGUGAACUAUGCCUG